rnacentral:rRNA from 1 species
AACGAACGCUGGCGGCAGGCUUAACACAUGCAAGUCGAGCGCCCCGCAAGGGGAGCGGCAGACGGGUGAGUAACGCGUGGGAACGUACCCUUUACUACGGAAUAGCUCCGGGAAACUGGAAUUAAUACCGUAUGUGCCCUUCGGGGGAAAGAUUUAUCGGUAAAGGAUCGGCCCGCGUUGGAUUAGCUAGUUGGUGGGGUAAAGGCCUACCAAGGCGACGAUCCAUAGCUGGUCUGAGAGGAUGAUCAGCCACAUUGGGACUGAGACACGGCCCAAACCCCUACGGGAGGCAGCAGUGGGGAAUAUUGGACAAUGGGCGCAAGCCUGAUCCAGCCAUGCUGCGUGAGUGAUGAAGGCCUUAGGGUUGUAAAGCUCUUUCACCGAUGAAGAUAAUGACGGUAGUCGGAGAAGAAGCCCCGGCUAACUUCGUGCCAGCCGCCGCCGUAAAAC